ACACGACUCUCGGCAACGGAUAUCUCGGCUCUUGCAUCGAUGAAGAACGUAGCAAAAUGCGAUACCUGGUGUGAAUUGCAGAAUCCCGCGAACCAUCGAGUUUUUGAACGCAAGUUGCGCCCGAGGCCUUCCGGCCGAGGGCACGUCUGCCUGGGCGUCACGC
rnacentral:rRNA from 1 species